rnacentral:rRNA from 1 species
UACGUAGGGGGCGAGCGUUGUCCGGAUUCAUUGGGCGUAAAGCGCGCGUAGGCGGCCCCGCAAGUCGGCCGUGAAAUCUCCCAGCUCAACUGGGAGGGGUCGGGCGAGACUGCGGGGCUCGAGGUGGGUAGAGGGCAGUGGAAUUCCGGGUGUAGUGGUGGAAUGCGUAGAGAUCCGGAGGAACACCAGUGGCGAAGGCGGCUGCCUGGGCCUGGCCUGACGCUGAGGCGCGAAAGCGUGGGGAGCAAUCCGG